rnacentral:lncRNA from 1 species
UAUAUGGCAAUAUAUAUCAGUGUAAAUAGAAUGCACAUAUUAGUAUAUACAUAUACAGUUAUGAACUUAUCAACGCGUAAAGGUGCAUGUACGUGCACAUACAAGUGUACAUAUACAUUUAUAAUUGUACUUAACAAAUACAAAACAACUGUAUACAUACAUGCAUAUACGUAUAGAAUAUAUAUCUGAGUGUGAGUGUGAGUGUGAGUGUAAAUGUGAGUGUGUCUGCAUGUGUGUGAGUGAGUGUGUGACCGUGUGAGUGAGUGUGAGUGUGAGUGUGUGAGUGAGUGUGUUUAGUAUAUAAAUCGGUGUACAUAAACGUUAAUAAUUGUAUAAACUGAUUAUAAAUAUAUAUGGUCAUAUACAUCAAUAUAUAUAGAAAUCUACAUAUUAGUGCACUAUAUAUAUACAGUUUACACAUGCACACAUAUCAAAAUAUACACAUCGUACAUAUAUGGACAUCACGCACGCACACACACAUAUCAACGUAUUUUUUACACGCUAAUAACUGUAUAUAUAGCUGAUAACUAACGUAUUGUACGGUUAUAUGCAUCAGUAUAUAUAUAUACAUACACUGAAAAUAAUAGUAUAUACUACUAUACAUCAAUACAUACACAAAUUGUGCUAUACAUUGGUGUACACAUAAACCGUUUAUACAUAUGAACAUGAGUGUGCGAAUAAACAUAUCACUGUAUAUAUACGUUAAUAACUAUAUAAACUGAUAAGGGUGUUUAUAUAUAAAUGUUUGUAUGCACUAUCACUGCGUAAUGGUGCAUGUGUAUAUGCAUAUCAGUGCAUGUAUAACUGAUAGCAAGUUUAUACAUACAUGCAUAAACACUUCAGUAUAUACAUGUCGUAUAUAUACACACUGUAUAUAUAUACAAACUGAUAAUAAGGGUCUAUAUGGUCAUAUAUAUCAGUCUAUAUUAUAAACAUGCACAGCAUAUAUGCACUUAUCAACACGUACGAGUGCAUGUGCGUGGGAAUAUCAUGUGUAUACAAACAUUGAUAAUUGUAUAUAACUGCUAGCAAUCAACUGUAUAAAAUGAAGCUCGCAAGAUCAAGAUCUCAAAUAUGAAUAACAUAAAGAGAUCUGCCUCGAUAAAAAGCUGCUUUCAAUGUUGUUGAUUUACAAGCAAACUCGAUGAAGAUGAAACUCAUCAACAAUAAGAAAAACAAGUAUAAAUAAGAAAAAAAAUUUAGAUAGUCUAUCAUAAUUGGGUAUUUAGCGUACCCAAUUCAUCAAGAGAAGAAACCCAUUCUUAUGCCUAAUUCUAUGUAAAGAAAUACGAAAUUUUGCCUCGGCUUAUUUGAUUGGAGGUGAUAGCCAGUGUGUGUAUGUGCGAGUGUGCGUAUGUGUGACUGUGAGUGUGAGUGUGAAUGUGAGUGUGAAUGUGAAUGUGAGUAUGUGAGUGUGUAGUACAUAAAUCAAUGUACAUAUACUAUAGAAACUAAUAAUAAAAUGAAGCUUGCAAGAUCAAGAUCUCAAAUACGAAUAACAUAAAGAGACCUGCCUCGAUGAUAAGCUGCUUUCAUUCUUGUUGAUUUACAAGCAAACUUGAUGAAGAUGAAACUCAUCAACAAUAAGAAAAACUAGUAUAAAUAAGAAAAAAAAAUUAGAUGGUCUAUCAUAAUUGGGUAUUUAGCGUACCCAAUUCAUCAAGAGAACAAGCCCAUUCUUAUGCUUAAUUCUAUGCAAAGAAAUAUGAAAAUUUGCCUCAUCUUAUUACUAUAUAAAUUAAUAAUAAGUGUAUAUACUAUAUAAACUAAUAAUAAGUGUAUAUCUGGUCAUAUACAUCAACGUAUAAAGAAAUGUAUAUAUUAACGAACUAUAUACAUACAGUAAUGAACUUUAUACAUACACAUCAGUAUAUACAUAUCGUAU